rnacentral:rRNA from 1 species
GAUGAACGCGGCGGCGUGCUUAACACAUGCAAGUCGAACGAAGCUGUUAAAAGGAAGUCUUCGGAUGGAAUUUAAACAGACUUAGUGGCGGACGGGUGAGUAACGCGUGGAUAACCUGCCUUAUACAGGGGGAUAACGGAGAGAAAUUUCCGCUAAGACCGCAUAAGACCACAGCACCGCAUGGUGCAGGGGUAAAAUAUUAAUAGGUAUAAGAUGGAUCCGCGUCCGAUUAGCUGGUUGGUGAGGUAGAGGCUCACCAAGGCGACGAUCGGUAGCCGGCCUGAGAGGGUGAACGGCCACAUUGGGACUGAGACACGGCCCAAACUCCUACGGGAGGCAGCAGUGGGGAAUAUUGGACAAUGGGGGAAACCCUGAUCCAGCGACGCCGCGUGAGUGAAGAAGUAUUUCGGUAUGUAAAGCUCUAUCAGCAGGGAAGAAAAUG